rnacentral:lncRNA from 1 species
AAGUUUGAUUAUUGAAAACGUCAUGUUUUGUACCAUCAAACCAAAAUGCAUGUUUCAGAUAACACUUUGAAUCGGAAAAAACCGAGCGACCAGGACCAACAAAUUGCAAUUGACAAAAAUUACGCACUCCAUCUUUCCGGCCAAUUCGAGAUUCCAGCGACGAGGUGCUUCAAUGACCAACUAAUGACUUCGCCAUUUUGCGACAAUUGAUGUAUUCGAGGUAUGACCCGAGGUGGUUGGAGGUGGUCGGAAGUGUUUAAGGGAGGUUGCGGGGGAUCGAGGUGGAUGAGGAGAAGGACGGAAAGGAGGAGGAGGAGAUAGAUGAGGAGAAAAAAGUGGACGAGGAGGACGAGGAUAACGAGGAUUUCUGCACUUGAUCGAGGUAUAACCCGAGGUGGUUAGCCGUGGUCGUUAGAGGUGGUUGGCAGCGGUUGGAGGUGAUCGGAGGUGGACGAGGAGGAGGACGAGGAAGACGAGGAUUUGUGCUCGGUAUAACCCGAGGUAGUUCGCGGUGGUUGCGGGUGAUCGAGGUGGGCGAGGAGGAGG